AGAAUGGCCACCACAGCAUGCUCUGUGUUUCCUUCAUGCUGGGUUAAGGAACCUGUUUGCUGUGCUGGUAGCUGCAGCUGCAGACCUGGGGAGGAUGACUGGGAGAUGCAGAAAGUGGACAUUUUGCAAAAUCACAUGAGAGAGUACCCAGCUCAGCUUGCCUCAGUCCUGCUGUCUUGCUUCCCCAUGGAAACGCCGUGCUGCACCAUCUGCCAGUGCCUCCCUGCAGCGCUUUGAGCUCUGACCCCGGCCCCAUCUGAAAGAGAAUAAACAAAUAAUGAAGAAUGUUCUGGAUGCUUCACCACAUGGAUACCAGCAGACCAUAAUCCCUCCUGUUCUGAGACAAAGAUCAGAAGAGAAAAAAGGAACUUCUGCUUGUCUGGCUGUGCUUUUUGCCUAACAC
ensembl:lncRNA